UACGUAGGGCGCAAGCGUUGUCCGGAAUUAUUGGGCGUGAAGAGCUCGUAGGCGGCUUGUCGCGUCGGUUGUGAAAGCCCGGGGCUCAACUCCGGGUCUGCAGUCGAUACGGGCAGGCUAGAGUUCGGUAGGGGAGAUCGGAAUUCCUGGUGUAGCGGUGAAAUGCGCAGAUAUCAGGAGGAACACCGGUGGCGAAGGCGGAUCUCUGGGCCGAUACUGACGCUGAGGAGCGAAAGCGUGGGGAGCGAACAGG
rnacentral:rRNA from 1 species